UGGGGAAUAUUGGACAAUGGGCGAAAGCCUGACCCAGCAACGCCGCGUGAAGGAUGAAGUAUUUCGGUAUGUAAACUUCGUAAGAAUAGGAAGAAUAAAUGACGGUACUAUUUAUAAGGUCCGGCUAACUACGUGCCAGCAGCCGCGGUAAUACGUAGGGACCAAGCGUUGUUCGGAUUUACUGGGCGUAAAGGGCGCGUAGGCGGCAAUUCAAGUCAUCUGUGAAAUCUCCGGGCUUAACUCGGAACGGUCAGAUGAUACUGCUUUGCUAGAGUGCAGAAGGGGCAAUCGGAAUUCUUGGUGUAGCGGUGAAAUGCGUAGAUAUCAAGAGGAACACCUGGGGUGAAGACGGGUUGCUGGGCUGACACUGACGCUGAGGCGCGAAAGCCAGGGGAGCAAACGGGAUUAGAUACCCCCGUAGUCCCUGAGCGGGCUGGCAAGGCGCAU
rnacentral:rRNA from 1 species